GACAGAGGGGGCAAGCGUUGCUCGGAAUCACUGGGCGUAAAGGGCGCGUAGGCGGGAUGGCAAGUCAGUCGUGAAAUCUCUCGGCUCAACCGAGAAACGUCGGCUGAUACUGCCGUUCUUGAGGGAUGCAGAGGAGAUUGGAAUUCCCGGUGUAGCGGUGAAAUGUGUAGAGAUCGGGAGGAACACCGGUGGCGAAGGCGGGUCUCUGGACGACAACUGACGCUGAGGCGCGAAAGCACGGGGAUCAAACAGG
rnacentral:rRNA from 1 species